rnacentral:lncRNA from 1 species
AAAAAAAGAGGAACGGCGGAAAGGAUACCAAAACCCUAAUCACCGAAUCAAGGACAAACCUGUGAGCUUGAUCGUUGCCGUGGUCACCGCCGAAGGUGAGUUCUUUGUUUCAGCCAUUGCUUUCUUACACGAUUGAGUGAGAUGUGGGCAUUUGGGUGUGAGACGUGAGCGAAGCGAUUGAAGAUGUGAGGGAGAUGAGCGAAGCGAUUGGGAACGAAGUGAGAGAGACGCGAUUUAGAGAGAGGGCUGUGGGUGAGAUUGUGAGUCGAGAGAAGAGAGAUUCAGAUGAGAAGAGGGAAAGACACGAGAGAGGAGAUUGAAAGAAUUUUUCAUUACUAUUCAUUAUCACUUUUUAUUCAUUUAUUGUUAUUUUUAUUUAUUUUUUUUAAAAAACAAAAAAACAUGCUUUAAAUUAGAAUUUAAUUAACGUUUUCCUUUGUUCUAUUAAACAAGGUAUAUUAAUGUACCAUUUGGUAUUCCCCAUCCAUUUCUCUUUUGAAAAACCAACAGCCAAGCGGCUGGUUUUUAAUUAGGCUAGACUAACUGUUUUUUUUUAGUUAGUUUUUUAUUUUAAUUCUUUUUUUAGUUUAACUUAGUUUAUAUAUUUAAGUUAGGAUUAAAAUAACAAUUAGUUAGUAGGUGGUCUGGUGGAGGGGAGUGAUGUCUAGGUCUUUAGUGUAGUGGGUUCGAUACCCCUAGGUGUAGUUUUUUUUUCUUUUAACAUUUUCUUUUGUUAUUUAUGCUUUAUUAUUCAUAGUUUUUUAUUAUUUUUUAAUAGCAUAGAUUUGUUUUCUUUUAAUCGCAUCAUUCAUUCAAAACCAUUUUAAAAUUAUUAAAAUCAUAUUUUUCUCGAUUUAAUAUCGAGCCCAUUUUCACACCCUUGUAAGUCGAUUGCUUUUUAAGCAUCGCCAUCAACCUCACAUAGCUUACUCUUGGGCUUUCUUACAAUGAGCCGGUUCUCUUGCACUUACACUCAUA